rnacentral:lncRNA from 1 species
AUAUUUCUGAGUUCUUCUUAUGUAAGGAUUAAUAGCUCCAUUUAUGAUAUUUCUUUAUGCUAUCAAUUGCAAUAUUCGGAUUCAUGAAGUUUGUACAUAGGCAUGUAGUCAGGCGAUAAGUUGCUGAUCAUUUGUGAGGUAAACAAAUUUUCUGGUAGAAGCUGGCAGUCAUUAGUUGGCACAAACAAGUGUUGUUUAAGCAUGUGGAUAGGCUUAAGUGACUGGAUAAGGUGUAAGCUUGAAUUUAUUUUGAUAUGUUUGAGUAUAGCAAAGAAAUGAUUCAAUGGAAUUCUCGAGUUACUAAGGUAAGUUGCAUAGUGAUUGAAGUUUUAUAGUUGGCAAAGACUUUCUUGCCGGACAUUUUGCUUG